AGGGACUAAUAUGUCCAGGUAGUAUGCCAUGGACCUUGGGUGAGACUGUUGAGAUGUGUUGACUUCAGGUGAGAGCCAGAAUAUUCCCAGAUGUGGUGGCUAUGGUGAGAGACUUCUUUUGCUGGAGAAAAGUAAAGGGAAAAGAAAAGGGACAUUGUCUUGCACCUAAGGGACCAGCUUGGACAGAGUGGUGUAGAGCACUAAGCAGACUCUUGGUGUCCCUGAUUGCAGGCCUUGGGUAUUGGAGAGCAUUUCUGAACUGGCCCUGAGCCCAAAGGGAGCCUACUGCCUUGAAGGGCUAAGAAGGAAGUUACAGUGUUGGCUGGGGUGACUGACUCAGACUAUCAAGAUGAAAUCAGACUACUACUCCACAAUGGAGAGGAAUUAUAAAGAUCAAGAUGAAUUCAGUGAAUCUUCCCAUAGGACUGUUCAAAGAUCUUCAGGGAGUGAGAAUGUUAACACCUGCUGGAAGGAUUGGUGGUAACUUAAUGGAGACAUCCCCGUUGUUGGCAGCUUUCUUCUCUACCUGGAUCCAACAGUCUCUGCUGCUUCUCUUGCUUUGCCUCUUGUCUAUGCUUGUGGUCAAGCUUAAGCAGGUAAGUAGCUGUUUAGUGGUCCAAAACUGGGUGAACUGGUUAAUUUUGUGAAAUAUUUUCAACUUCUUAUAGGAGAUAGGCUUUUGCUGUGGCAGCUGGAUGUACCAGGACUAUUUGGCAAGGUGGAUGAGCUCCCUUUUGGACUAGAUAUGCUGUCCAAUGCCCAAAUUAUUGGGCCUUUUCUCAAACAGGAGAUUUACCACCUUUUUGGUCUCCUGUUUCUUCACAACAGCAGGGGCCUGUACACACCUUCUUUUUCUUGGUCUUUCUUUUCAAUUCUCAGGUGGCCUACUGGAGGAGAGAGGCUUUUUUCCUUUUUUUAUAAAGAUGUUUUAUCUUGACAUCUUGUUUUUAUUUUGGUGACUCAUUCAAGCAUUCAUUCAACACAUUUAUCAAGUAAACACUAUGUUGCUAAGUGCCAUUUUAACACUAUAUUAUGAGGUAAACGGAACAAGCAAGGGCUUUGCCUUUACCAAGUUUCAAAUCUGAAAAGGAUACCUUAGUGUUAGUUACAUCAUAAAAUUUACAUAUAACUGCAAUUCUAAUGUUCACUAUUAUCAAACUCAUACCUAAA
rnacentral:lncRNA from 1 species